rnacentral:rRNA from 1 species
UACAGAGGUGGCAAGCGUUGUUCGGAAUUACUGGGCGUAAAGGGCGCGUAGGCGGCCUCCUAAGUCAGACGUGAAAUCCCCCGGCUUAACCUGGGAACUGCGUCUGAUACUGGGAGGCUAGAGUGCGGGAGAGGGAUGCGGAAUUCCAGGUGUAGCAGUGAAAUGCGUAGAUAUCUGGAGGAACACCGGUGGCGAAGGCGGCAUCCUGGACCGACACUGACGCUGAGGCGCGAAAGCUAGGGUAGCAAACGGG